rnacentral:rRNA from 1 species
GGAGUUAGCCGGUGCUUCUUCUGUGAGUGAUGUCCUUCCUGCCGGCUAUUAACCCGCAGGCCUUCUUCCUCACUGAAAGUGCUUUACAACCCGAAGGCCUUCUUCACACACGCGGCAUGGCUGGAUCAGGGUUGCCCCCAUUGUCCAAUAUUCCCCACUGCUGCCUCCCGUAGGAGUCUGGGCCGUGUCUCAGUCCCAGUGUGGCUGAUCAUCCUCUCAGACCAGCUACGGAUCGUCGCCUUGGUGAGCCGUUACCUCACCAACCAGCUAAUCCGACAUAGGCUCAUCCGAUAGCGCGAGGCCCGAAGGUCCCCCGCUUUCCCCCGUAGGGCGUAUGCGGUAUUAGCCUGGGUUUCCCCAGGUUAUCCCCCACUACCGGGCAGAUUCCUAUGCAUUACUCACCCGUCCGCCGCUCGCCACCAGGGAGCAAGCUCCCCGUGCUGCCGCUCGACUUGCAUGUGUUAGGCCUGCCGCCAGCGUUCAAUCUGAACCAAGAUCAAAAUUCUGA